UUGGGGACCAGUGUUUUAGAGAGUCUCUGUUUGCUAUUUAGGUUGGCCCGCUUUACCUAUACCAAUAAAGCAGGGAAAAGGUUUCUGCAGGAGAACUACAGAAUUACGGAAGGGGAAGCUUGGUCAGAGGGAACUCUCCACAAAGAAGCCGUAGAGAUAAAAAGAAGGAAGACACAAGAGAGGAUAAAAAGUACACUUGAUCUGCUGAGAAGGCCUCACAUGCUUUAUUGGAAUCCCAAAGAGAAAAGAAAGAAUCACUUCACAGCAGUCAUGACAGGAGGCUAAAGGAAGUGAAACGAUUUCGCCAAAGUGCUGGAAAACAAACUAACCACCGAAGCAAAUUUCUCUACCCGGAGAAAAUAUCCUUUAUUAAUGAAAGCAAGAGAAAGGCAUUUUUAGAUAAGCAGAAGCUGAGAGAGUUCUCCAAGCCCAGGCCCCACUCAAGGAAAUGCCACAGGGCGUUGUUUAGGCUGAAGGUCAGUGAGAUGCAGCCAAGGACGACAGACAAGGACCUGCCAGGAGUGGUCCAGGAGUUAGCAGGAUCUUUCUUCUGGCUAGAACCAAAGAUCCGUGAAGGAAAGUCAGAGGGCAUAAGGCUGAAAGACAUGUGAACCCAGAUCACCAAGGGUCCUAAAUGCCAGGCAGAAGGAAAAGGAAAGAGGGACAGGUCCAGAGAAACACGGGAGAGAGAGAGAGAAAGCUCAGUAGUCCAGGAUGGAGAAGUUACAACGAAAGAGAAGGUGGGUGAUUUCGUUAAAUAUUGCUUAGUCCAGGCAGACGGCAAGUAAACAAAUGCCCCUGGAUUUGGAACUCAAGAAGUCACACGCAACUUUGAGAUAGUGACCUUCAUGAAACGGUGGGCAUGAGCUCUGGAUGGCAAAGAAUUCAAGCGUGAGCAGUAGAGGAAGCAGAAGCAGUAGGUGCUUCCACUUGGGAGCCUAACAGAGACCUCGCUCUACUCCAGAACAGAGCUCUUGCUUACUCCCCUCCUGAGCCUGCCUCUUCCCUAGUCUUCCUCAGCUCGUAAAUGGCCUUAUUACCUAGCAGCUCAAGCCAAACUAUGGGAGUAGCCACUGAUUCUUCUCUUUCUUUCAUCCUCCAGGACCUAAUCUAUCGCAAAUUCCUGUUGAAUCCAGUCCCAUGUGUAGUCUAUGUCUGACCAUCCCAUUGCUCCCUGCUUAGUCCAAGUCCAAAGCCACCAGCGUCUCUUCCCGGAAACACAGCAAAGACCUAGUGGAGUAGCAGCGGCGGAAUGCUUCCGUUCUUGCUCCCUUAACCCGAUCUCCCUGGGGUGAUCUUUUAGGGGGGAAAUAUCAGACCAUGUCACUUCCCUGCUUAAAAUCCUUCAAUGCUCCCCAUUGUGGCCAGGAGAAAAUUUAAAUUCCUGACACCCCCUUUAAAGCCCUCAGUGGCCCAGCCCUGGUUUGGGUCCUCUCGCACCGUGUCCUACUGCCUCGCCUGCUUCCUCAGCCUCUGCUCUCGGGCUCUCAGUUUCCACCCCAGGGCCGUUGCCCCGGAAGCUUCACCUCCCAGGUCUCGCAAGGCUGGGUCCUUCUCGUCAUUCAGCUCACAGGGACCUCCUGGGGUAGACCUUGCCUGACCUACCGACAUGCACUCGCCUCGCUGAGAUGUGUUUUAUCACAGCACUGACACACAUGUCCCCGUGUAGUAACUAACCGGCUUGUUGUCUGCGCCCCGCCCCCACCCGCCCAUUGGCGUGUCAAUCCCAGCAGCACUGAACUCGUUUCCCUCGUGGGAACUGCUGAGACCCCAGUGCCCAGUCCUGGACUCUGUCUCCAAACCUCAAGAUGAGCGGAGGACACACUGCGGGGGGAAUGCACAGGGCGUUAAUAAGAGACGGAAGUAAAACGGCCAAGCAACACUGUGGUCCAGUCGAAGGCAGAGGGCGUGAACUUUGUGCUCUCCUAGACUUUCUCCAGCCACUCCUGACAGCCUGGGAGGAGUGUGGAAGUGUAGUCCACGGGGACAGACCGAAUUUGGACAGAGCCAAAGGACAAAGGGCUGUGAUACCGCUGAAUGGCUGAGAAAGCAGAUGGGAACCGGAUCCAGCUGCGUCCCUCCAGGGGUGCUGAUGGAUCGGGUUGGAUUCAUAGGGAGGAUCAAGGACCUAAAGUCCAAAACAGCAGGGAAAAACAGUCCCACAGGCACAAUGGAAGAUGUCACUGCAGGGUUAUCAGUGCUCACGAGGGAAGGGAGGGACAGGCUAUGAAUGGCAAGCAAGCACUAAAUCCCAGUCUGGACUCAGUGACAACGGCGUAAUAAAAAGAUUAUAGAUUAGGGUUUUUGGAGGGAAGACGUGAGCGAGCCGGCCUCUGAAGCAAACCUAUUCCUCAGGUCUGUGGUGUGUCCAAGUCAGCUUUCCAUUCAUCACAGCCACUUGCCAAGUAGCCCUAACAAAAUCCCGUGGACCCAAGAGAGGACAGACAUAGAGCAUUCCCUGAGUCACUAUUUAUCUUGUUUGAGUGGUGAUAAAAACCAGGUCAUUCUCAACCACAGAAACACAGACCUGGGCGUAUCGAAACAUAUGUUAUGUUCCAUUUAUAUAAUUCGUAGAGGCUGUGUUUUCCAAAGCAGAGGAGGGAUGGCAAGAACUUCUCUACCCAAGUGAGCAUUAUGGCCCAGUUAAUGUCUACAAACCUAAAGAAAAAAGAAAUGUCUCAACAUUGUAGUUUCUUCCCCCCAGCCCCUCUGAAGGAAAUUCUUAAAGACCAGCCAAUGUCAGCAUGCAGUUUAGCUCUAAUCACAGCUCUGCAAAGGAGGAGAAAGAAAAGCCCAUAAAAAUUCCUUAAGAGCUGAUGGACCAUGGAAGCUGUUGAGGGGAAGCCUCACACACCUAAAGAAAUAGCCCUUAAUUUACAACCUGGCUGGCAGUUCCAGACUGACGAAACACUCCUGAACAAUCCGUCUCAGCACACCUAAGCAUCUCACGCCAAAGGAUCCUAAGAGGACAGGGCAACUUGGAAGAAACGAUACAUGGGCCCAGAUGGUGCACAUCUGGCUAAAAAUUACAAAGAGAAUGAAAUCAACUUCUCACACCCACUGACAGGUGUUUGCAGCUUCCCAGGAGACCUGCUUACGAAGGGCAACAGGGAUGGUUCUGGACUGCUGGCUAGUAAAGGAACAACAAAGGUUCCUGAGAAUUGGGACUGGGCAGCAAGAACCAAACAGGUGGCAACAGUAUGGGCUGCUGCCCACCUUCUCUUGACAAUGGCACCAUUUCAAAGUCAUUUAAAUUAUUUAGGUAAUUUUAACCAAGACAUCUUUAAUAAUGCACCAAACAGCAGGCACCAGGUUGAAAUCAAUUAGACUCCACCAUUAAAUUACAAGAAAGAAAUUUACAGAAGAGCGGCUCAGGGGUAGGGGCCGUAGGUGCACACGCCUGUCAGAGACAAUUAUAUUAGGAACCAAAGGAGGGAGUACGGCCUCGUCAUUUAAGCAGCAGAAAAGAUGGACAGGCGCCCCUAAAUUUAGGGCAACACUAAAUAACUAAGAUGAGGAAGGCCCCUUCUCUGGGCGGUGAGG